rnacentral:rRNA from 1 species
CCUACGGGUGGCAGCAGUGAGGAAUAUUGGUCAAUGGGCGCGAGCCUGAACCAGCCAAGUAGCGUGAAGGAUGACUGCCCUACGGGUUGUAAACUUCUUUUAUAAAGGAAUAAAGUGAGGCACGUGUGCCUUUUUGUAUGUACUUUAUGAAUAAGGAUCGGCUAACUCCGUGCCAGCCGUCGCGGUAAUACGGAGGAUCCGAGGGUUAUCCGGGUUUAUUGGGUGUAAAGGGUGCGUAGGCGGAGCGUUAAGUCAGUGUUCAAAUUGAGGGGCUAAACACCUUCCCGCCAUUGAAACUGGCGCUCUUGAGUGGAAGAGAAGUAUGCGGAAUGCGAGGUGUAGCGGUGAAAUGCAUAGAUAUCACGCAGAACCCCGAUUGCGAAGGCAGCAUGCCGGCUUCCGACUGACGCUGAAGCACGAAAGCGUGGGGAUCGAACAGGAUUAGAUACCCUGGUAGUC